CGGCAACCACUCACAAACGCAGGUCAUAUAGUCUGCGAGAUGGCAUCGCCCUAUCACAGUGCAGGAACGCAGGUGUUCAGUGCAGAAUCUAGCGUAGGCCCGAUCUUCAUUUCAGCACAAAAUUAAAUCAAGGUAAUCCGCUAGUUAUGACAGCGCCCGAACUGAAUUGGAUCACUUGUCUCCACCAUCGCCUAUUCGAGAACAGCAGAAAUCGUUUUCAGAGUCAACCCGAGCACGUCGUCUGUUGAAGAUGCAAUACUUCACUGGGUUACAACUAAGAUACAGAACGAUUUAGAAACCCGGCCCAUAACCACACUUCAUUAUCAUCAACAAGACUGUUAGAGGAACAGAAAAGCCAAAUUCUACCACGAAUUUCCACACCAACAGAUAAAA